AUUGAACGCUGGCGGCAGGCCUAACACAUGCAAGUCGAGCGGAUGAAGAGAGCUUGCUCUCUGAUUUAGCGGCGGACGGGUGAGUAAUGCCUAGGAAUCUGCCUGGUAGUGGGGGAUAACGUCCGGAAACGGGCGCUAAUACCGCAUACGUCCUACGGGAGAAAGCAGGGGACCUUCGGGCCUUGCGCUAUCAGAUGAGCCUAGGUCGGAUUAGCUAGUUGGUGAGGUAAUGGCUCACCAAGGCUACGAUCCGUAACUGGUCUGAGAGGAUGAUCAGUCACACUGGAACUGAGACACGGUCCAGACUCCUACGGGAGGCAGCAGUGGGGAAUAUUGGACAAUGGGCGAAAGCCUGAUCCAGCCAUGCCGCGUGUGUGAAGAAGGUCUUCGGAUUGUAAAGCACUUUAAGUUGGGAGGAAGGGCAGUAAGUUAAUACCUUGCUGUUUCGACGUUACCGACAGAAUAAGCACCGGCUAACUUCGUGCCAGCCGCCGCCGCAGUAA
rnacentral:rRNA from 1 species